AUACCGAAGAAUGUUAUCACGGGAGACACACGGCGGGUGCUAACGUCCGUCGUGAAGAGGGAAACAACCCAGACCGCCAGCUAAGGUCCCAAAGUCAUGGUUAAGUGGGAAACGAUGUGGGAAGGCCCAGACAGCCAGGAUGUUGGCUUAGAAGCAGCCAUCAUUUAAAGAAAGCGUAAUAGCUCACUGGUCGAGUCGGCCUGCGCGGAAGAUGUAACGGGGCUAAACCAUGCACCGAAGCUGCGGCAGCGACACUAUGUGUUGUUGGGUAGGGGAGCGUUCUGUAAGCCGUUGAAGGUGGCCUGUGAGGGUUGCUGGAGGUAUCAGAAGUGCGAAUGCUGACAUAAGUAACGAUAAAGCGGGUGAAAAGCCCGCUCGCCGGAAGACCAAGGGUUCCUGUCCAACGUUAAUCGGGGCAGGGUGAGUCGACCCCUAAGGCGAGGCCGAAAGGCGUAGUCGAUGGGAAACAGGUUAAUAUUCCUGUACUUGGUGUUACUGCGAAGGGGGGACGGAGAAGGCUAUGUUGGCCGGGCGACGGUUGUCCCGGUUUAAGCAUGUAGGCGGAGGUUCCAGGUAAAUCCGGUACCUUGUUAACGCUGAGGUGUGAUGACGAGGCACUACGGUGCUGAAGUGAUAAAUGCCCUGCUUCCAGGAAAAGCCUCUAAGCAUCAGGUAACACGAAAUCGUACCCCAAACCGACACAGGUGGUCAGGUAGAGAAUACCAAGGCGCUUGAGAGAACUCGGGUGAAGGAACUAGGCAAAAUGGUGCCGUAACUUCGGGAGAAGGCACGCUGAUGGUAAGUGAAGUGACUUGCUCAUGGAGCUGAAAUCAGUCGAAGAUACCAGCUGGCUGCAACUGUUUAUUAAAAACACAGCACUGUGCAAACACGAAAGUGGACGUAUACGGUGUGACGCCUGCCCGGUGCCGGAAGGUUAAUUGAUGGGGUUAUCCGUAAGGAGAAGCUCUUGAUCGAAGCCCCGGUAAACGGCGGCCGUAACUAUAACGGUCCUAAGGUAGCGAAAUUCCUUGUCGGGUAAGUUCCGACCUGCACGAAUGGCGUAAUGAUGGCCAGGCUGUCUCCACCCGAGACUCAGUGAAAUUGAACUCGCUGUGAAGAUGCAGUGUACCCGCGGCAAGACGGAAAGACCCCGUGAACCUUUACUAUAGCUUGACAC
rnacentral:rRNA from 1 species